rnacentral:tRNA from 1 species
UUAAUUGAAACCAAAAAAGGUAAAUUAUUGUUAAUAAUUCUAUUGAUUAAUAAUCAAAUUAAA